AUAUGUUUGUUUUUCAGGGGAUUUAUAUCAGUUGCCAACUCUUAAAGUAAUGACCUCCUCUGAUGAUGACACCGAGACUACCCUCUCCUGCUUUGCCAAAGAUUUUUCACCAAAAGAUUUUGAGUUCAAAUGGCUGAAAAAUGAAGCAAAAAUCACCACUGGAAUAACCAACAUCAAAACACCUUUUGAUGAAAAAAAGACAGAGAAUGGAAUACUGUACAGUGCAGCAAGUUUUCUGACAGUGCCAUCAAGUGAGUGGACUGACACCAAUACGUUUACAUGUGAGUUUAUGGGGAAAGGUGAACAAGGUCCAACGUAUGUAAAUUCAUCUGUGACCAAAGACGUUUGUAUAAAUGGACCUGAUGUGUGGAUGGAAGCAGAUGUGGACAUAACGAUCAUAGAACCAACAAUGGAGGACUUUGUUUGGAACGGAAAGGGAGAUAUAAAAUGUCAAGUCAAGAUAAAGAAACCAUCUGUCCAAAAGAUUUUCUGGGAGACCCAUGACGGAAAAGACAUACCUGGUGCUGUUCCAGUGAAGCCCCCUGCAGGACAAAAAGGUGUAUUCAACGCUUCACUUCCCAUCACAUUUGACGAAUGGAGACAGGGGGCAAAGUUCAUCUGCAUUGUUGAACAUGAAGACUGGAUAGAGCCACAUAAGGAAAUCUACAUAAAGACGAUCGGAGGACCACCUCAGCGUCCUUCAGUUUUUAUGCUACCUCCACUAGAACAUACUAAAACAAAAACCGUGACCCUGACUUGCUAUGUGAAAGACUUCUUCCCUCGGGAAGUUUAUGUGUCUUGGCUUGUCGAUGACGAGGAAGCAGACUCAAAAUACAAGUUCAAUACCACAACGCCUGUAGAAAAUGAUGGAUCAUAUUCUGCCUAUGGCCAGUUAACCCUCACCCUCCAGCAGUGGAAAAAUGAUGACACUGUGUUCAGCUGUGCAGUUCACCAUGAAUCUGUGGUCAACACAACUAGAGCUAUUGUCAGGUCCAUCGGGCACAGAACAUUUGAAAAAACCAACAUGGUCAACCUCAACAUGAACAUCCCUGAAACGUGCAAGGCCCAGUAGAUGUUAUUCUGUGUCGCUGUGUCUUCUGCUGUUUGUUGUUUAAUGUUUGUUGCUUGUGAUAUGACACUGUGUUUGUCUUUUUAAUGCAGAUUCAAAAUCAAAAUAAAAAAAAGCACUUUGCAACUCUGUUGA